AUAAGCGGAGGAAAAGAAACCAACAGGGAUUGCCUUAGUAACGGCGAGUGAAGCGGCAACAGCUCAAAUUUGAAAGCUGGCCCUUUUAGGGUCCGCAUUGUAAUUUGUAGAGGAUGAUUCGGCGAGGGCUCCUGCCUAAGUCCCCUGGAACGGGGCGUCAUAGAGGGUGAGAAUCCCGUAUGCGGUAGGUUGCCUUAGCCAUGUGAAUCUCCUUCGACGAGUCGAGUUGUUUGGGAAUGCAGCUCUAAAUGGGAGGUAAAUUUCUUCUAAAGCUAAAUACCGGCCAGAGACCGAUAGCGCACAAGUAGAGUGAUCGAAAGAUGAAAAGCACUUUGGAAAGAGAGUUAAAAAGUACGUGAAAUUGUUGAAAGGGAAGCGCUUGCAACCAGACUUGUCCGCAGUUGCUCAGCCGGUCUCCUGACCGGCGUACUCUUCUGCGGCCAGGCCAGCAUCAGUUCGGGCGGUCGGAUAAAGGCCUCGGGAAUGUGGCUCCUCUCGGGGAGUGUUAUAGCCCGGGGUGCAAUGCGGCCAGCCUGGACUGAGGAACUCGCUUCGGCAAGGAUGCUGGCGUAAUGGUUGUAAGCGGCCCGUCUUGAAA
rnacentral:sRNA from 1 species